rnacentral:rRNA from 1 species
UGCGUAGGCGGCUUAGUCAGUCAGGGGUGAAAGUUCUGGGCUUAACCGAGGAAUUGCCUUUGAUACUGCUAAGCUUGAAUCAGGUUGAGGUAGGCGGAAUGUGGCAUGUAGCGGUGAAAUGCUUAGAUAUGCCAUAGAACACCAAUUGCGAAGGCAGCUUACUGGACCUGCAUUGACGCUCAGGCACGAAAGCGUGGGGAGCGAACAGGAUUAGAUACCCUGGUAGUCC